UAUCUAUGAUGAUCCUAUCCCGAACCUGAAUUUCUGUUGAAACAACUUAAUACGGAUCUGGCUUCUGAGAU
ensembl:snoRNA